rnacentral:rRNA from 1 species
CACGUAGGGCGCAAGCGUUGUCCGGAAUUAUUGGGCGUAAAGAGCUCGUAGGCGGUCCGUCACGUCCGCUGUGAAAACCCAGGGCUCAACCCUGGGCUUGCAGUGGAUACGGGCAGACUAGAGGUAGGUAGGGGGAGAAUGGAAUUCCCGGUGUAGCGGUGAAAUGCGCAGAUAUCGGGAAGAACACCCGGUGGCGAAGGCGGUCUCUGGCGGUCCG